UACGUAGGGGGCGAGCGUUGUCCGGAUUCAUUGGGCGUAAAGAGCUCGUAGGCGGUUUGUUGCGUCGGCUGUGAAAUCCCGAGGCUCAACCUCGGGUCUGCAGUCGAUACGAGCAAACUAGAGUGUUGCAAGGGAGACUGGAAUUCCUGGUGUAGCGGUGAAAUGCGCAGAUAUCAGGAGGAACACCGGUGGCGAAGGCGGGUCUCUGGGCAACAACUGACGCUGAGGAGCGAAAGCGUGGGGAGCGAACAGG
rnacentral:rRNA from 1 species